rnacentral:piRNA from 1 species
AGUGGACGAGGUGGCUGAGUGGUUA